rnacentral:rRNA from 1 species
AUUGAACGCUGGCGGCAGGCCUAACACAUGCAAGUCGAGCGGAGCGGCGGACGGGUGAUUAAUGCCUAGGAAUCUGCCUGGUAGUGGGGGAUAACGUCCGGAAACGGGCGCUACUACCGCAUACUAUCAGAUGAGCCUCGGUCGGAUUAGCUAGUUGGUGGGGUAAAGGCCUACCAAGCCGACGAUCCCUAGCUGGUCUGAGAGGAUAACCAGCCACACUGGAACUGAGAGAAGGUGCAGAAUCCUACGCGAGGCAGCAGUGGGGAAUAUUGCACAAUGGGCGCAAGCCUGAUGCAGCCAUGCCGCGUGUAUGAAGAAGGCCUGCGGGUUGUAAAGUACUUUCAGAGGGGAGGAGUUACCAGCAGAAGAAGAACCGGCUAACUACGUGCCAGCAGCCGCGGUAAUUC